rnacentral:lncRNA from 1 species
UCCUACGUACUGGGCCAUGCUGCUUAUGGAGGUGCUGGAGAGCGGGUGCUGAGCUGUUGGGUAUGAAGUGUAACAGAACAGACUUUACCACCUGAAACUGCUGCUUCAAGUUCAGAUCAGGCAAGGAAUAAACCUAGUAACAACCAACAAGACCAAAGAAGAGUACACUUAAGUUGAAGACACAACACUUGAUCUGAAACAAGAAGUUUGUGCCUACUCAACAGCUUUGAAAGAGAACUUCCCAACACUGCUAGUAGUCUUUGUUUUCUUCAGUGCUGUACUGUGAGAUGCCCGGUGCAGCAGCAGUUGUAUUCUUUAUUAGUUUGGUAGAUCUUUUUCUCUCGCUCUUUUUUUUUUUUUAAUACUAGCAACUUUCAUCCUUUGAAACGUGUGCUGAAAAAGAAGAAUCAGCAAAUACUACUGAAAGUGCAAUAUUUGAUUAUCACUGCAACAUGAGCUUUGAUCCAAACCUUCUCCACAACAAUAGACACAAUGGGUACCCUGUAAAGGAUGAUGGAAAAGCUCUAUAAGCUC